rnacentral:rRNA from 1 species
UACGAAGGGGGCUAGCGUUGUUCGGAAUUACUGGGCGUAAAGCGCACGUAGGCGGGUUGUUAAGUCAGGGGUGAAAUCCUGGAGCUCAACUCCAGAACUGCCUUUGAUACUGUCAACCUAGAGACUGGAAGAGGUUAGUGGAAUUCCCAGUGUAGAGGUGAAAUUCGUAGAUAUUGGGAAGAACACCAGUGGCGAAGGCGGCUAACUGGUCCAGCACUGACGCUGAGGUGCGAAAGCGUGGGGAGCAAACAGG